GCCAGAACAAAUUCAUGACAGAGAAUCCAUCAGAUAUUUUCAUGGACAGGAUCGCACGGGCUCGAUCCUUACAGUAGCCAUCACGUACAAAGCAAUGCACGCGACAUACGAAGCGUCCCCGAGUCGUAGCAAGCUACAAGGACUCUUUAAGACACAACGAGAACCGAUGUAAGUCGACCGUGAACAAAUGAAUCCACUAGAUGUC
rnacentral:lncRNA from 1 species